UACGAAGGGGGCGAGCGUUGUUCGGAAUUACUGGGCGUAAAGGGCGCGUAGGCGGCCGAUCAAGUCAGAUGUGAAAGUCCUGGGCUUAACCUGGGGACUGCAUUUGAUACUGAUUGGCUUGAAUGCAGGAGAGGAUAGCGGAAUUCCCAGUGUAGAGGUGAAAUUCGUAGAUAUUGGGAAGAACACCGGUGGCGAAGGCGGCUAUCUGGACUAUGAUUGACGCUGAGGCGCGAAAGCGUGGGGAGCAAACAGG
rnacentral:rRNA from 1 species